GAUCAUGGCUCAGGAUGAACGCUGGCGGCGUGCUUAACACAUGCAAGUCGAACGGGAAACAUUUUAUUGAAGCUUCGGCAGAUUUAGAUUGUUUCUAGUGGCGGACGGGUGAGUAACGCGUGGGUAACCUGCCUUAUACCGGGGGAUAACAGCCAGAAAUGACUGCUAAUACCGCAUAAGCGCACAGAACCGCAUGGUUCGGUGUGAAAAACUCCGGUGGUAUAAGAUGGACCCGCGUUGGAUUAG
rnacentral:rRNA from 1 species